rnacentral:rRNA from 1 species
GAUGAACGCUGGCGGCGUGCCUAAUUCAUGCAAGUCGAGCGAACAGAUGAGGAGCUUGCUCCUCUGACGUUAGCGGCGGACGGGUGAGUAACACGUGGAUAACCUACCUAUAAGACUGGGAUAACUACGGGAAACCGGAGCUAAUACCGGAUAAUAUAUUGAACCGCAUGGUUCAAUAGUGGAAGACGGUUUUGCUGUCACUUAUAGAUGGAUCCGCGCCGCAUUAGCUAGUUGGUAAGGUAACGGCUUACCAAGGCAACGAUGCGUAGCCGACCUGAGAGGGUGACCGGCCACACUGGGACUGAGACACGGUCCAGACUCCUACGGGAGGCAGCAGUAGGGAAUCUUCCGCAAUGGGCGAAAGCCUGACGGAGCAACGCCGCGUGAGUGAUGAAGGUCUUCGGAUCGUAAAACUCUGUUAUUAGGGAAGAACAAAUGUGUAAGUAACUAUGCACGUCUUGACGGUACCUAAUCAGAAAGCCACGGCUAACUACGUG